rnacentral:lncRNA from 1 species
GGCCUAGAAUAUUAUCAUUUGUACUAUAGAUAGAUUGUACAAUUCAUAGUUCAGUAAUAGGUUAUAUUUCUUGUAAAUUAUUAUAUGAAUAAAAACUAAUAAUACUAAUAGAAUAUAUAGUACUUAUAUAGAGUGUAUUUUCUUAGAAAGAUGUUUUCUAUAGAGAAGAAUUAUUAACAUUAUGGAUUCGACAAUUAGAGAGAAGAUCUAAUAAUAUUGAAGUGGCAAUAAAGAGGCUGAAAGAAGCAAGAAAAAAUAAUA